rnacentral:lncRNA from 1 species
UGUGUAAAGUUCUCUGUGCCAUUUAAAAAAGGAAGCUGCAGAACAAACUUUACACUUUCUGUGAUCAAUGAUGUAAGCAAAUAAUUUCCUCUAAAUAUGACUGCAUCACUGUGAAAUUCUUUGUGCCUAUUAAAUACAAUGCAAAGAAGUAGAGGAGAAGUCUAGGAACUACAUUCUCAAGAGUCUGACUCUU